UACCUGCAGCUCGAGUGGUGAUCGUUAUUAUUGGGCCUAAAACGUCCGUAGCCGGUCUUGUAAAUGCCUGGGUAAAUCGUAUGGCUUAACCAUACGAAUUCCGGGUAGACUGUUAGACUUGAGACCGGGAGAAGCUAGAGGUACUCCUGGGGUAGAGGUGAAAUUCUGUAAUCCUAGGGGGACCACCAGUGGCGAAGGCGUCUAGCUAGAACGGGUCUGACGGUGAGGGACGAAGCCCUGGGGCGCAAACGGGAUUAGAUACCCCGGUAGUCCAGGGUGUAAACGCUGCUUGCUUGAUGUUAGUCUGGCUCCGAGCCAGAUUAGUGUCGGAGAGAAGUUGUUAAGCAAGCUGCCUGGGAAGUACGGCCGCAAGACUGAAACUUAAAGGAAUUGGCGGGGGAGCACAGCAACGGGUGGAGCGUGCGGUUU
rnacentral:rRNA from 1 species